GAUGAACGCUGGCGGCGUGCCUAACACAUGCAAGUCGAGCGAACAGACAAGGAGCUUGUUCUCUUGACGUUAGCGGCUGGCGGGUGAGUAACAAGUACAUAACAUUCUUCUAUGACUGGGAUGAUUUCGUAAAAACGCAUACACUACUGCCUCAUAUUACGUACCGCUGAGUUCAAUAGAGAUUGAUGGCUUUGGUGUCUCGAUUAGCUGGUCCUCUGUUGUAUUAGCUAGUUGGUAGGGUAACGGCUUACCAAGGCGACGAUCCGUAGCCGAGCUGAGAGGAUGAUCGGCCGCACUGGAACUGAGACACGGUCCAGACUCCUACGGGAGGCAGCAGUGGGGAAUCUUCGGCAAUGGGCGAAAGCCUGACGCAGCAACACCGCGUGAGUGAUGAAGGUCUUCGGGUCGUAAAGCUCUGUUGUUGGGGAAGAACAGACGUAGAUGUAUAUGCGGAUGUCUUGACGGUACCUAAUCAAAAAGCAACGGCUAACUACGUG
rnacentral:rRNA from 1 species